rnacentral:rRNA from 1 species
UACGUAGGGUGCGAGCGUUAAUCGGAAUUACUGGGCGUAAAGCGUGCGCAGGCGGUUCGUUGUGUCUGAUGUGAAAGCCCCGGGCUCAACCUGGGAAUGGCAUUGGAAACUGGCGAGCUAGAGUGUGGCAGAGGGGGGUGGAAUUCCGCGUGUAGCAGUGAAAUGCGUAGAUAUCGAGAGGAACACCAGUGGCGAAGGCGAGUCCCUGGACACUUCCUGACACUGAGGCACGAAAGCUAGGGGAGCAAACAGG